AUCAGCCUUUUGGGCAUGAUUCUGUGGAGCGUGAGGAGUUAAACGCCUUCAUGCCUGCAUAUUCGUGUACUUUGGGUGUACUUGCCUGUGUGGUUAGUUAACAUCAAUUUUGGUUAUCAUAAAAUGGCUGGAGGAAUGUAGCUUCGAUCUCGUAUUGAAGUGUUAUAGCCUUCGGCAGAUGUGAUGAUCGGGAUUGAGGAUUGCAACGGAUACCCUUCGGGACUACCUGUCUGAUCUCUGAUCGUUGCUCUGGUGCCGAAAGCGUGCUUACGGUUAUCAAAGUCGAUGGUUAAUAGGUUAGAACGGGUUAAAUUCGUUAAGGAUGUUGACGUAAUGGCUUU
rnacentral:rRNA from 1 species